UACGUAGGGUGCGAGCGUUGUCCGGAAUUACUGGGCGUAAAGAGCUCGUAGGUGGUUUGUCGCGUUGUUCGUGAAAACUCACAGCUUAACUGUGGGCGUGCGGGCGAUACGGGCAGACUGGAGUACUGCAGGGGAGACUGGAAUUCCUGGUGUAGCGGUGGAAUGCGCAGAUAUCAGGAGGAACACCGGUGGCGAAGGCGGGUCUCUGGGCCACUACUGACGCUGAGAAGCGAAAGCAUGGGGAGCGAACAGG
rnacentral:rRNA from 1 species